AGAGCGAACGCUGGCGGCAGGCCUAACACAUGCAAGUCGAGCGCCCCGCAAGGGGAGCGGCAGACGGGAGAGUAACACGUGGGAACGUACCCUUCAGUUCGGAACAACCCAGGGAAACUUGGGCUAAUACCGAAUACGUCCGUAAGGAGAAAGAUUUAUCGCUGAAGGAUCGGCCCGCGUCUGAUUAGCUUGUUGGUGAGGUAACGGCUCACCAAGGCGACGAUCAGUAGCUGGUCUGAGAGGAUGAUCAGCCUCACUGGGACUGAGACACGGCCCAGACUCCUACGGGAGGCAGCAGUGGGGAAUAUUGGACAAUGGGCGCAAGCCUGAUCCAGCCAUGCCGCGUGGGUGAUGAAGGCCCUAGGGUUGUAAAGCCCUUUCGGCGGGGAAGAUAAUGACGGUACCCGCGAGAAGAAGCCCCGGCUAACUUCGUGCCAGCAGCCGC
rnacentral:rRNA from 1 species